GACGAACGCUGGCGGCGUGCUUAACACAUGCAAGUCGAGCGAACAGACGAGGAUUUUGCUGGUCUGUCGUGUGCCGCACGGGUGUGUAACACACGUGUAACAUGCACCUAUAAGACGGGUAACAUUUGGAAAAACCGGCGCAAACCGCGGAUGAUAUCUUGAACCGCGUGGUUCAGUGGUGAAAGACGGUUUUGCUGUCACUAAUAGAUGAAUCCCGGCGGCUUUGGCUGGUUGGUAGGUUAACGGCUUACCAAGGCGACGAUGCCUAGCCGACCUGGGGGGGGGACGGCCCACUCGGGAACUGAGACACGGUCCAGCCUCCUAGGGGAGGCAGCAGUGGGGAAUCUUCGGCAAUGGGGGAAAGCCUGACGGAGCAACGCCGGGUGGGUGAUGAAGGUCUUCGGAUCGUAAAACUCUGUUAUUGGGGAAAAACAAAUGUGUAAGUAACUAUGCACGUCUGGCCGUUACCUAUCAGAAAGCCACGGCUAACUACGUG
rnacentral:rRNA from 1 species